GCAGGCGCGUAAAUUACCCAAUCCUGAUACAGGGAGGUAGUGACAAUAAAUAACAAUGCCGGGUCUUAUAGAUCUGGCAAUUGGAAUGAGAACGAUUUAAAUCCCCUAACGAGGAUCAAUUGGAGGGCAAGUCUGGUGCCAGCAGCCGCGGUAAUUCCAGCUCCAAUAGCGUAUAUUAAAGUUGUUGCAGUUAAAAAGCUCGUAGUUGGAUUUCUGGUGGGAGUGAUCGGUCCUUCACUUAGUGUUGGAACCUGAUUGUCUCCUGCCAUCCAUGGAGAGAACUUAUCUGGCAUUAAGUUGUCGGGUAGGCAAUCUCCAUCCUUUACUGUGAAAAAAUUAGAGUGUUCAAAGCAGGCUUAUGCCGUUGAAUACAUUAGCAUGGAAUAAUAAGAUAGGACUAUGGUACUAUUUUGUUGGUUUGUGCACCAUAGUAAUGAUUAAUAGGGACAGUUGGGGGUAUUCGUAUUCCAUUGUCAGAGGUGAAAUUCUUGGAUUUAUGGAAGACGAACUACUGCGAAAGCAUUUACCAAGGAUGUUUUCAUUAAUCAAGAACGAAAGUUAGGGGAUCGAAGAUGAUUAGAUACCAUCGUAGUCCUAACCAUAAACUAUGCCAACUAGGGAUCGGCAGUCGUUAAUACAACACUGUCGGCACCUUAUGAGAAAUCAAAGUCUUUGGGUUCCGGGGGGAGUAUGGUC
rnacentral:rRNA from 1 species